GACGAACGCUGGCGGCGUGCCUAAUACAUGCAAGUUGAGCGCUGAAGGUUGGUACUUGUACCAACUGGAUGAGCAGCGAACGGGUGAGUAACGCGUGGGGAAUCUGCCUUUGAGCGGGGGACAACAUUUGGAAACGAAUGCUAAUACCGCAUAAAAACUUUAAACACAAGUUUUAAGUUUGAAAGAUGCAAUUGCAUCACUCAAAGAUGAUCCCGCGUUGUAUUAGCUAGUUGGUGAGGUAAAGGCUCACCAAGGCGAUGAUACAUAGCCGACCUGGGAGGGGGAACGGCCACAUUGGGACUGAGACACGGCCCAAACUCCUACGGGAGGCAGCAGUAGGGAAUCUUCGGCAAUGGACGAAAGUCUGACCGAGCAACGCCGCGGGAGUGAAGAAGGGUUUCGGAUCGUAAAACUCUGUUGGUAGAGAAGAACGUUGGUGAGAGUGGAAAGCUCAUCAAGUGACGGUAACUACCCAGAAAGGGACGGCUAACUACGUG
rnacentral:rRNA from 1 species